rnacentral:misc_RNA from 1 species
AAGAAUUCUUGAUCUGGUGGAGAAGAAAGGAGAAGGAAGAAGCAGAAGAGCCGCAAGACCAUAACUAUAAACAACAAAGACAUGAUUACUCAUGCCUUUGUUAGUAGCAGCUUUGUAAAGCGUAUUUAAUCCAACAUUUAUACAUUCCAUAGUCACCAUAGCUGCAAAUGGUAGCACUUCUUUGUAAAAAGUUGUCUCUCUGUUAUUGCUUCCCAUUUUUCCUCUGUUUUUUUCUUCAAAAUCUUCAACUUCUACGCGUGGCGGACAUGAGCUUUACCUAAAAAUCUGAUAUUUAUUCAUACGAGUGUGUGUGUUCAAUAAAUACGAUAUGUUAUGGUCCAGGAUUAAAG